rnacentral:rRNA from 1 species
CCUACGGGAGGCAGCAGUGGGGAAUUUUCCGCAAUGGGCGAAAGCCUGACGGAGCAACGCCGCGUGAGGGAUGAAGGCCUCUGGGCUGUAAACCUCUUUUAUCAAGGAAGAAGAUCUGACGGUACUUGAUGAAUAAGCCACGGCUAAUUCCGUGCCAGCAGCCGCGGUAAUACGGGAGUGGCAAGCGUUAUCCGGAAUUAUUGGGCGUAAAGCGUCCGCAGGCGGUCUUGUAAGUCUGUCGUUAAAGCGUGGAGCUCAACUCCAUUUCGGCGGUGGAAACUACAAGACUAGAGUGUGGUAGGGGCAGAGGGAAUUCCCGGUGUAGCGGUGAAAUGCGUAGAUAUCGGGAAGAACACCAGUGGCGAAGGCGCUCUGCUGGGCCAUAACUGACGCUCAUGGACGAAAGCUAGGGGAGCGAAAGGGAUUAGAUACCCCUGUAGUCCUAGCCGUAAACGAUGAACACUAGGUGUCGGGGGAAUCGACCCCCUCGGUGUCGUAGCUAACGCGUUAAGUGUUCCGCCUGGGGAGUACGCACGCAAGUGUGAACUUAANANAUAGUGNGNGNGAGAGCGACGACGACGACGACGAGGAGG